rnacentral:rRNA from 1 species
UACGUAGGGUGCAAGCGUUGUCCGGAAUUAUUGGGCGUAAAGAGCUUGUAGGCGGUUUGUCGCGUCUGCUGUGAAAUUUCGGGGCUCAACCCCGAACUUGCAGUGGGUACGGGCAGACUAGAGUGUGGUAGGGGAGACUGGAAUUCCUGGUGUAGCGGUGAAAUGCGCAGAUAUCAGGAGGAACACCGAUGGCGAAGGCAGGUCUCUGGGACACUACUGACGCUGAGAAGCGAAAGCAUGGGGAGCGAACGGG